GGCGCUGUGGCUAAGUGGUUAAGUCGCCUGUCUCGUAAAAAGGAGAUCCUGGGUUCAAAUCCCAGCAGUGCUU